rnacentral:lncRNA from 1 species
GGGCUUAGACAACAAUCUUCCUAUCACAGGUCCUUAUGCCGUCUAGUUAGCAUGCCUGACCCUGCCAUGUAAGCAGCAUUUUCUAUAAAUAGAGAGCCAAAAGUGAGAGAAAGAGAGUUCUUUAAACCCUUAGAGAUCAUACUUCUAAAUCCUCUCUCCUCCAUCCUCCAGAAACCAUCGAGAGCACGCAAUUGGAGAUCAAAGGAAUGACUAGUCAAGCUAGGAUAGCUUGGAACUUGAAGUUCUUGAAGAUUGAAGGCUUGAAGACACCAUUGCAGCUUGUCUCAAGAUGAAGUACUUCUACACUUCUUCCUUCUUGUUCUCCUUGACCAUGGUAGGCUAGUUGUGAUUGUUGCUAGGUCUUGAUAUAUGUUGUUGUAAUGAUAUUUCCGAAAAUUAUAGGGUUGAAUACAAUUGAAUUCUAAGAUGAUGGUUAAGUUGUGCUUGGACUAUGUUGCUUUCAACCUAAUUUGUGGUAUGACUUAAAUUAGGUCAAAUUAAUGUGUUUCUAAGCACUAGUUUGGUAGGAAUGUGUUUGUAGGCCAAUAUUGAGGAGGUGUGUGUGGACCAAUAUACACCCCAAUUCAACAUUUUGUGCUAGAAAUUCCUAAUGGGC